UACGUAGGGGGCAAGCGUUGUCCGGAAUCAUUGGGCGUAAAGCGCGUGUAGGCGGCUUGGUAAGUCUGGCGUGAAAUCUUGGGGCUCAACCCCAAGCCUGCGCUGGAUACUGCCUCGCUCGAGUCCGGGAGAGGAAAGCGGAAUUCCCAGUGUAGCGGUGAAAUGCGCAGAUAUUGGGAAGAACACCGAUGGCGAAGGCAGCUUUCUGGAACGGUACUGACGCUGAGACGCGAAAGCGUGGGGAGCAAACAGG
rnacentral:ncRNA from 2 species